GACGAACGCUGGCGGCGUGCUUAACACAUGCAAGUCGAACGAUGAAGCCUAGCUUGCUGGGUGGAUUAGUGGCGAACGGGUGAGUAACACGUGAGUAACCUGCCCUGGACUCUGGGAUAAGCGUUGGAAACGACGUCUAAUACUGGAUAGGACCCUGUACCGCAUGGUGUGGGGUGGAAAGUUUUUCGGUUUGGGAUGGACUCGCGGCCUAUCAGCUUGUUGGUGAGGUAAUGGCUUACCAAGGCGUCGACGGGUAACCGGCCUGAGAGGGUGACCGGCCACACUGGGACUGAGACACGGCCCAGACUCCUACGGGAGGCAGCAGUGGGGAGUAUUGCACAAUGGGCGCAAGCCUGAUGCAGCAACGCCGCGUGCGGGAUGACGGCCUUCGGGUUGUAAACCGCUUUUGUCCAGGAAGAAGCCUCUUGGGGUGACGGUACUGGGAAAAAAAGGACCGGCUAACUACGUGCCAGCCGCCGCGGUAAUAC
rnacentral:rRNA from 1 species